AAAAAAAAGGCAGAUUUCUCUAGCCACUUACCAAAAUCAACAGGAACAUAGGAUUAGAAUAAUUUUCUCGUCUGGAAAAGAAAAACAAAGUGCAGAAAGGCAACUGCAAAAUGGCGCACGAAUGGAACAAACACAAGGAGAGACCAGUUUGAAGAUUCCAAAGGUUCUAGUGCUGCACCCUCAUGUUGUGACACUUAGACCAGACAAUUAUUCCUCAGUUCCUCAAAUUGCUAGCACUAGUACAUAAGUAACCUCAACGGUCUGUAAAACUCAUUCCUAAAUGAUAAGUGUAUUUAUUACACUUACCUCGGUCGUUAAACUAGAGCAAUUAUUGUUAUUUUAAAUGAAUUGAGGCUUAAUUUUGUAUAUAUUUCAUUUGUUAGGUGCAUCUCGAUGAAAACGAUGGAAAUGAAAAAAAGGAGUGAAAAUUUGACAAAAAAAGACUGAAUCCAAAGAUUGGAGACUAAAUUGCAAAGUGCUAAUAGUUGAUUAGGACCCAAUAUCGAUGAUUGGAGAAGGCAUGGACUCAAUUACAUGGAAUUGGAAGCUAAAGGACCAAGAAGACAUCAAAAGAGAGCUAAAAUGAAUGAAAACCUAAAUUGAGGGACCAAAGUGCAACAAAUGAAGAUUUUUAUAAUGGCGUGCGCGCGAGAGGCCCCGGUGUGCAUUUACCAAGAGGAAGUCAGUAGCCAACGUGUGCGCGGUGGAACAUAUGGUACGCGGGGGGGAAAUCUAGGUCUGAACGGCCAAGCAUCUGUUUUUGACCUAAACUUUUAUGAAAACCAAAUUUAACCUAUUAUUUAACCUACAAGAUGCGGCUAGAACGGGACACACAUUAUUGUACAUAUUUUUACCACAAGGAAGAGGCUAGAACGCGAUUCAAAGGCGAUUAACACGAGAGAUUGAGGAUUCAAAGCUUUGGUUGAAGAUUAACAAAGAAGAAAUUGAUUUUUCACUUUCCAAUCAUUGUUUUCAAUUCCGAGUGAUGUUUUUCCAAAUCUUUUCAUGUGAUUUAUUACAUAAUAUGUUA
rnacentral:lncRNA from 1 species